GACCCCAGGAACUUUUACUAACUGUUAAAUUGUAUUAACUACUGUUUUUGUUGGGGCAACAUGGGAAUAAUAAACUUUAAAACUUCCUUUAUCUAUAUGCCGACUUAGUAUGAAAAAUUAAGUUACCCUGGGGAUAACAGCGUAAUUCUUUUAGAGCUUGCGACCUCGAUGUUGGACUAGGAAUUUGGUUGGCUAGCCGCCAAUUUAUAUGGUUCUGUUCGAACUUAUUUUCCUACGUGAUCUGAGUUCAGACCGGA
rnacentral:rRNA from 1 species